UACGAAGGGUGCAAGCGUUACUCGGAAUUACUGGGUGUAAAGCGUGCGUAGGUGGUUUGUUAAGUCUGUUGUGAAAGCCUCGGGCUCAACCUGGGAAUGGCAAUGGAUACUGGCAAGCUAGAGUGCGGUAGAGGGUAGUGGAAUUCCCGGUGUAGCGGUGAAAUGCGUAGAGAUCAGGAGGAAUACCGAUGGCGAAGGCAGGUCUCUGGGCUGAUACUGACGCUCAUGCACGAAAGCGUGGGGAGCAAACAGG
rnacentral:rRNA from 1 species